UAACCUGCCCAAGAGAUCGGGAUAACACCUGGAAACAGAUGCUAAUACCGGAUAACAACAGAUGAUGCCUAUCAACUGUUUAAAAGAUGGUUCUGCUAUCACUCUUGGAUGGACCUGCGGUGCAUUAGCUAGUUGGUAGGGUAACGGCCUACCAAGGCGAUGAUGCAUAGCCGAGUUGAGAGACUGAUCGGCCACAUUGGGCUGAGACACGGCCCAAACUCCUACGGGAGGCAGCAGCG
rnacentral:rRNA from 1 species